GAGAAAGAAUGCAAGAACUGCUAAUUCAUGCCCCCACGCCUAAUAGCUUGGCUUUCUUA
rnacentral:tRNA from 6 species